rnacentral:lncRNA from 1 species
GCAUAAUAUGGUGAAAUGUGAUUGGGCAAAGGCAUAUAUAUUAAUUCGGAACAAGGGCUUAAUUUCUUAUUAAGUAAAACAAGUGCUUAAUUUCUUAUUCUGCAGACAAGGACAUUUCUAUUAUUUGGCGGGUUGUGCAAUUGCUAAUGAUAGCAGAAAUGGGACCCACCCUUGUCUCCAACUUUCAAAACUUUUCAUUUAAAAACUUCACAAAAUAUUAUGCUGAGUGUACUGCACACUCAUUUUGACGGUACACUUACACAAGUGGCCCCACG